rnacentral:rRNA from 1 species
GAUGAACGCUGGCGGCAUACCUAACACAUGCAAGUCGAUCGGUAAGGCUCUUCGGAGUACACGAGAGGCGGACGGCUGAGUAACGCGUAGGAACACACCCUGCAGUGAGGGAUAAGACACCGAAAGGUGUUCUAAUACCGCAUACGGUCUUCGGAUUAAAGCAUUUAUGCGCUGAAGGAGUGGCCUGCGUCAUAUUAGAUAGUUGGUGAGGUAAUGGCUCACCAAGUCGAUGAUGUGUAGCUGGUCUGAGAGGAUGAUCAGCCAGACUGGAACUGAGACACGGUCCAGACUCCUACGGGAGGCAGCAGUGAGGAAUAUUUCACAAUGAGCGAAAGCUUGAUGGAGCAAUGCCGCGUGCAGGAUGAAGGCCCUCGGGUUGUAAACUGCUUUUAUAAGAGAAGAUUAUGACGGUAACUUAUGAAUAAGGGACGGCUAACUACGUG